rnacentral:rRNA from 2 species
AGCGGCGAGCGAACGGGGAUGAGCCCAGAGCCUGAAUCAGCAUGUGUGUUAGUGGAAGCGUCUGGAAAGGCGCGCGAUACAGGGUGACAGCCCCGUACACAAAAGCGCAUAUGCUGUGAGCUCGAUGAGUAGGGCGGGACACGUGGUAUCCUGUCUGAAUAUGGGGGGACCAUCCUCCAAGGCUAAAUACUCCUGACUGACCGAUAGUGAACCAGUACCGUGAGGGAAAGGCGAAAAGAACCCCGGCGAGGGGAGUGAAAAAGAACCUGAAACCGUGUACGUACAAGCAGUGGGAGCCCCACCACUAAGCCAGUGGUGAACUCCACAUACGCAUCCUUUGCUGAGGAUACGGUUAACGGAGCGAAAGCGACGUUCAACCUCAAAAGAAGCAGAGGGGGCUUAGUGGUGGGGUGACUGCGUACCUUUUGU